UAUGGCGACCGGCGCACGGGUGAGUAACACGUAUCCAACCUGCCGAUGACUCGGGGAUAGCCUUUCGAAAGAAAGAUUAAUACCCGAUGGCAUAGUUCUUCCGCAUGGUAGAACUAUUAAAGAAUUUCGGUCAUCGAUGGGGAUGCGUUCCAUUAGGUUGUUGGCGGAGUAACGGCCCACCAAGCCUUCGAUGGAUAGGGGUUCUGAGAGGAAGGUCCCCCACAUUGGAACUGAGACACGGUCCAA
rnacentral:rRNA from 1 species